UUGCAGUAUCCUCCUCUCUUUUGCUAUUAGCUGGUGCUAACUAAAGUAAAAGCGAGUGUCAUCUCUCCGGCCCUCACCGCUGCCUUCACCACCAUUUACCCACGCGGAUGUUGAGCUUCCCGCCAGGGCUCAGGGAGCUCACAGUGGGAAGCGGAGGGCUUGAGAAGGGGUGGCUCUGCCUGACACUCCCCGGCUCCCAGCUGGGCCCACUUUCAGGUAGUGGGUGGGGGCAGGACCCGCAGGGCACGGUCCUUCCCCUGCCCUUCCCCACGGGGUUGGAGGCUCUGGAGGCAGCUCCCUCCCUGGGGAAUCCUGGGGAUUCAGGAGCAUCCCGAAGGUGCUCGUUGUCAUCCGUGGUUAAAUGCCGAGUUUGUCUUGGCUGCUGGGUUAAGCCCUGGAGCCACAUCCUGGUCCGAGCAGCUCUCCCGUCGAUAGGUCCUGGCCCACCUUGAGGGCGGCUUGGGGAAAAGAAAGGCUUGCUUUUGAGUAAAUUGGUGGCAGACCCCUCUCAGCGAACUUCAGCGCACUUGCUUUUGAAAAAUGACUCUGCGUGUUAUGAUGUUUUGCAAGACAUCAAAGGAUGUGGAAAAUCCAUUAUAAAUACGAGGGUAUGUUCCUCGCCCGAAGGGCCAGGGUUACUGAGGUGGGGGCGGGGUUGGAGCCUUGGGUUUCCAUUCAGUUCCUUCUGUUCUCCUUCCCCGCCGUGGCCCCAAGCAGGGACCUCUCCUCCCUGGGGCUUGACCCAGUGGCUGGAGGGAGGGAGGGGCCUGUCUGAAUUCACCCUCUGCACUGCUGCACCUGGAGCUGCUGCUGUGCCCAGGGUUCUUGGGUGCACCGGUAAAGGGGAGCAGCUGGUGGGUCAGAGGGAGGAGGCAAAGGGAAAUGAAAUGCUCCAAGCCCUCUCAAGGCAGAGAUUGGCAUCUUCCAGCAUUGAAGAGGCACUGACGGGCGGGUGAGGCCUUCGGGAGGAAACAAACGCAGUACGCCAGGGAGUGGGGGCUGUCGGCUGCCGGGAACAAGGCUGCAUGAGAGGCCCUGAGCGGCAGCCCUGAGCACUGCCCUCUCCCGUGGGCUCCCCAGGUGUGUAGAACAGUUUGCAGAGUGCUGGCCUGGGUCCCAGGGCCCGUCUGUCUCCCGCUUGUUGGUUCCGACUGGCUACUGUGCCUCCUUGGGUCUCCCCGGCCCAGGCCUGGCCAGGGGUUCAAGCCUUCACCAGGGGAAGGAGCAUCUGUGAGUCCAGGGAGUGUGCCUGGCCCAAUGCCUCUGCCCAGGGCCUUUGUGCCUGCCGUCCCCUCCCCAAUUCCACGCCUCCUGUUGCCCUCUGCAGAGGCACCUCUCCCAUGACCUCCAAGCACACCACCCACUAAAUCUCCGCCCUUCCUCUGCUUGCCUGCCCUCCCAGCACAGCCACUCUGUCCGCUGAGGGUCCUGAGCCGCUUACUUGUUCACCUGUCUUCUGCUGGAGACCAGGGAGCCCUCCCCUUGCUGGCUGUGGGGUCUG
rnacentral:lncRNA from 1 species